GGUUAAAAAGCUCGUAGUUGGAUUUCUGUUGAGGAUGACCGGUCCGCUCUUUGAGCGCGUAUCUGGUUCAGCCUUGGCAUCCUCUUGGGGAACGCUACUGUGCUUGAUUGCAUGGGGCGGUAUUCAAGACUUUUACUUUGAGGAAAUUAGAGUGUUCACUGCAAGCGUUAGCAAUUGAAUACAUUAGCAUGGAAUAAUAAUAUAGGACCUUGGUACUAUUUUGUUGGUUUCUAGAACUAAGGUAAUGAUUAAUAGGGACAAUUGGGGGCAUUCGUAUUAACGCGUCAGAGGUGGAAUUCUUAGAUUGCGUUACGACGAACUACUGCGAAAGCAUUUGCCAAGGAUGUUUUCAUUGAUCAAGAACGAGAGUAUGGGGAUCGAAGACGCUUAGAUACCGUCGUAGUCUAUACCAUAAACUAUGCCAACUAGAGAUUGGAGGUCGUUCUCUUUAUGACUCCUUCAGCACCUUAUGAGAAAUCAAAGUCUUUGGGUUCCGGGGGGAGUAUGGUCGCAAGGCUGAAACUUAAAGGAAUUGACGGAAGGGCACCACCAGGAGUGGAGCCUGCGGCUUAAUUUGACUCAACACGGGAAAACUUACCAGGUCCAGACAUAGUAAGGAUUGACAGAUUGAUAGCUCU
rnacentral:rRNA from 1 species